UACGAAGGGGGCUAGCGUUGUUCGGAAUUACUGGGCGUAAAGCGCACGUAGGCGGGUCGUUAAGUCAGGGGUGAAAUCCCAGAGCUCAACUCUGGAACUGCCUUUGAUACUGGCGACCUAGAGUCCGGGAGAGGUGAGUGGAAUUCCUAGUGUAGAGGUGAAAUUCGUAGAUAUUAGGAAGAACACCAGUGGCGAAGGCGGCUCACUGGCCCGGUACUGACGCUGAGGCGCGAAAGCGUGGGGAGCAAACAGG
rnacentral:rRNA from 1 species